UGCAUGUCUAAGUAUAAGCAAUUAUACCGUGAAACUGCGAAUGGCUCAUUAAAUCAGUUAUCGUUUAUUUGAUAGUACCUUACUACUUGGAUAACCGUGGUAAUUCUAGAGCUAAUACAUGCUAAAAACCCCAACUUCGGAAGGGGUGUAUUUAUUAGAUAAAAAACCAAUGCCCUUCGGGGCUCCUGGUGAUUCAUAAUAACUUCUCAGAUCGCAUAGCCUUGUGCUGGCGACGGUUCAUUCAAAUUUCUGCCCUAUCAACUUUCGAUGGUAAGGUAGUGGCUUACCAUGGUUUCAACGGGUAACGGGGAAUUAGGGUUCGAUUCCGGAGAGUUAGCCUGAGAAAUAGCUAACACAUCCAAGGAAGGCAGCAGGCGCGCAAAUUACCCAAUUCCGAUACGGAGAGGUAGUGACAAUAAAUACUGAUACAGGGCUCUUUUGGGUCUUGUAAUUGGAAUGAGUACAAUUUAAACCUCUUAACGAGGAACAAUUGGAGGGCAAGUCUGGUGCCAGCAGCCGCGGUAAUUCCAGCUCCAAUAGCGUAUAUUAAAGUUGUUGCAGUUAAAAAGCUCGUAGUUGAAACUUUGGCCUGGCUGGCGGGUCCGCCUCACCGCGUGCACUUGUCCGGCCGGGCCUUUUCUUCUGGAGAACCGCAUGCCCUUCACUGGGUGUGUUGGGGACCAGGACUUUUACUUUGAAAAAAUUAGAGUGUUCAAAGCAGGCCUUUGCUCGAAUACGUUAGCAUGGAAUAAUAGAAUAUGACGUUUGGUCCUAUUUUGUUGGUUUCUAGGACAGCCGUAAUGAUUAAUAGGGACAGUCGGGGGCAUCAGUAUUCAAUUGUCAGAGGUGAAAUUCUUGGAUUUAUUGAAGACUAACUACUGCGAAAGCAUUUGCCAAGGAUGUUUUCAUUAAUCAGUGAACGAAAGUUAGGGGAUCGAAGACGAUCAGAUACCGUCGUAGUCUUAACCAUAAACUAUGCCGACUAGGGAUCGGGCGGUGUUUCUAUUUUGACUCGCUCGGCACCUUACGAGAAAUCAAAGUUUUUGGGUUCUGGGGGGAGUAUGGUCGCAAGGCUGAAACUUAAAGAAAUU
rnacentral:rRNA from 1 species